rnacentral:rRNA from 1 species
UACGUAGGGUGCGAGCGUUAAUCGGAAUUACUGGGCGUAAAGCGUGCGCAGGCGGUUUUGUAAGACAGAUGUGAAAGCCCCGGGCUUAACCUGGGAAUGGCAGUGGAAACUAGAGAACUUGAAUCUGGCAGAGGGGGGUGGAAUGCCACGUGUAGCAGUGAAAUGCGUAGAUAUGUGGCGGAACACCGAUGGCGAAGGCAGCCCCCUGGGCUGAGAUUGACGCUCAGGCACGAAAGCGUGGGGAGCAAACAGG